AAGUGGGACAAUAAGGCAAACUAAAGAUCACAAUGCUGUGACUGACAAGAAAUGUGUCACAUUUCACUGACUGAAAAUCCAUCGCUAUUUCUUUAACUGAGAUGUGAAUAUGGCUGUGUGUCCCAAUAGAAUCACAGGAGGAAACAUGGCAAAGAAAGGCACUUGCUCAUUCAAAUGAAAGACAGCAGAAUAAUGAGAUGGACAACUGCAGUUUGGACUUCCAUCAAAUGGUAAAGUUGCACCCAAGAAAGAGAGGUUUGAGUUCCAUUCUCUGCUCUUGUUAAAGGGAUUGCCCCAAUAAAUUCAGUUUUCUAAUCUCA